rnacentral:rRNA from 1 species
CCGUCUACUCUUGGACAGCCUUCUGAAAGGAAGAUUAAUACAAGAUGGCAUCAUGAGUUCACAUGUUCACAUGAUUAAAGGUAUUCCGGUAGACGAUGGGGAUGCGUUCCAUUAGAUAGUAGGCGGGGUAACGGCCCACCUAGUCUUCGAUGGAUAGGGGUUCUGAGAGGAAGGUCCCCCACAUUGGAACUGAGACACGGUCCAAACUCCUACGGGAGGCAGCAGUGAGGAAUAUUGGUCAAUGGGCGAGAGCCUGAACCAGCCAAGUAGCGUGAAGGAUGACUGCCCUAUGGGUUGUAAACUUCUUUUAUAAAGGAAUAAAGUCGGGUAUGGAUACCCGUUUGCAUGUACUUUAUGAAUAAGGAUCGGCUAACUCCGUGCCAGCAGCCGCGGUAAUACGGAGGAUCCGAGCGUUAUCCGGAUUUAUUGGGUUUAAAGGGAGCGUAGAUGGAUGUUUAAGUCAGUUGUGAAAGUUUGCGGCUCAACCGUAAAAUUGCAGUUGAUACUGGAUAUCUUGAGUGCAGUUGAGGCAGGCGGAAUUCGUGGUGUAGCGGUGAAAUGCUUAGAUAUCACGAAGAACUCCGAUUGCGAAGGCAGCCUGCUAAGCUGCAACUGACAUUGAGGCUCGAAAGUGUGGGUAUCAAACAGGAUUAGAUACCCUGGUAGUCCACACGGUAAACGAAAGGACUCGCUGUUUGCGAUAUACUGCAAGCGGCC